GACAGGAGAGACCAGGGCGGCUCAGGCGCGUGGUCGAGGCAGGCAGGGCACUGGGGAGAUGGGCGGGGCUCGGGACUCAGCACCCCUGGUCUGGGCACCUUGCCGGGCACUGGGCAGAGGACUCCCGAGGGGCGAAGAGGAGGCGACACCCAGGCAUGGACACUCCGGGGGUGGAGGAGGACCUGGGCUUGGAUCCACGGAGGGAAGCAGCUGCGCCCUGCUGGUGGCGAUGGGGGGACAGACUCCAAAGAGGGAGCCUGACCGGGGCCUCGUUCAACACACGGCGCGCAGAGGCGGGGGCAGGCGGAUGAAAGAUCUCUGAAGACAAAUUGGAUGAUGCAUAUGUGGAUUCUGUUUCACUUGGUGUUUAGCUUUUCCCCCCUCUUGCUGCAUAUUUAUCCUCUUUCAGGUUCCAAAGUCCGGUGGAGUAGAUCUUGUGUACCUCAGACUGUUCCAGUUUGUCAACAAAUUAGAAAUUCUUUUCUAUUUAUCAAAAAAAAAAAAGAAUCUCUUCUUGGAAAGAUAGAAAACAAGCUUAUACAAGUCAAAUAAUUUUUGAAAGAUAAAAAGAUUUAAUGUCUUUUUAGAAAUUAUUUUGCUGCUGUGUGAAUAGUUUUAAAUCUUUUUUCUAUUUUUAAACCAUAUUCUUUAAUCAGUUUUCGGAGUUUGUCUUUUAGAUCCUCCAAACUGAUGCUGAGUGCUGUGAGCCCUGUCUUUCCUGGCUCUCUGAUACUUAAGGUUCAUGAACAAAGGUUGAUUUUCUGAUAGAUUUAUCUAAAAUAUUUGGAAAAUCAAGGGGAAUUCUUAAAUUUUCAUCUAUCAUAUUUGCAAAUUAUCUUGUAAUCCCCAAUGACACAUACAAGCAAAGAUGUUUCUAGAAUAUGAACAAUUAAGUGUGAUAUUUAAUUCAAUAUAACUGACAGUAUUUUUUCAAUUUGUGUGCAAUUCUUCUGCACUGCUUUUAUGAACUAAAGCUUAGACCUUAAUGUUCUUAUUCUGAGGAAAAACGAGAAAACAGAAAGGAUUUUGUGGUUCUUUGCUUGAAGCUUGUGGAGUUUGUUAUUUAAGAUGCUGGGCCCAGAAGGAUCUUCACCGUCUGUUAGCACUGGUCCCCACUCACUACCUGGGGCGUGCGCGCCAGUGUGAAUCUUGGUGACGCGAAGUAAAUGUCCCUGUUUCAGCGCAGCUUUGCUGGCGAUCGCUCUACCAUGGCUCUGGUGCUGAGAACCCUGAUCACGUGGUGAGAGGCUGAAGCAGGCCAUUGCCUCCUGACAUGAGUUUCGGCACAAUCCGAGGAACUGAAAUUUCAUGCAAGUGCGGAAAUAUUCACCCCAGUGACAUACACACAACUUUCAGGCUCAUUCUGUUCAUUAAAUUUUUCCCCUAAGUCUGUUCAAAA